rnacentral:rRNA from 1 species
GGGAUCGAAAGACCUUAUGCUUUUGGAGCGGCCGAUGUCUGAUUAGCUAGUUGGUAGGGUAAUGGCUUACCAAGGCGACGAUCAGUAGUUGGUCUGAGAGGACGACCAGCCACACUGGGACUGAGACACGGCCCAGACUCCUACGGGAGGCAGCAGUGGGGAAUUUUGGACAAUGGGCGCAAGCCUGAUCCAGCAAUGCCGCGUGAGUGAAGAAGGCCUUCGGGUUGUAAAGCUCUUUCAGUUGAGAAGAAAAAGUCGUGACUAAUAAUCAUGAUUCAUGACGGUAUCAACAGAAGAAGCACCGGCUAACUACGUGCCAGCAGCCGCGGUAAUACGUAGGGUGCAAGCGUUAAUCGGAAUUACUGGGCGUAAAGGGUGCGCAGGCGGUUCUGUAAGUCAGAUGUGAAAUCCCCGGGCUUAACCUGGGAACUGCGUUUGAA